AACCCCUGUGAACAUACCACUUGUUGCCUCGGCGGAUCAGCCCGCUCCCGGUAAAACGGGACGGCCCGCCAGAGGACCCCUAAACUCUGUUUCUAUAUGUAACUUCUGAGUAAAACCAUAAAUAAAUCA
rnacentral:misc_RNA from 1 species